ACCAAUCAUAGUUUAUCAACACGUCUCAAGUAGCCAUUGGACCAGAACAGACCUUGUAAGCAUCUUAGCAUCAUCACAAACUCCUUCUGCAUUCCUCAUCCUGAAUAUGUUCUCUUUGGGCAAGGGAUUCAUAUCUAUAGACAGCCAUUACAUGAGCAGCUGUCUUUCUUUCUAUAGUACUCUCUAUGAUACUACGUAUAGAUCUGACCACUAAUGGAAUUAGGCAGUGCAGAAAGAGACAUAAGAAUAUAACGAAUACUACUCCUGCUACUAACGCCUUAAUCCCUCCAAGCUGCUCAUACCAACUUCCAAACCAACUACUAGGAUUAUACCCAUUCCAGACCUGAGUAGGCACAUGCGUCAGUUUAACCAUGUGGCUUGUAAGUUCAGCCACUGCCCGCCCUUCAUCAUCUAUGUGCAAACAACAGUUGCUGAGAUUAAACUUUCUGUAUA